GGCCUCGUAGCUCAGCUGGUAGAGCAUGCGCGUACAAAGCGUAGGCGGCGUCCAUGCGUGGGUUCGAAUCCCACCGAAGCUA
rfam:Echinostoma caproni strain Egypt genome assembly, scaffold: ECPE_scaffold0001809